AUCGGUUUGGAAUACAGACCUUAUGAAGCAGUUUUAGUAAAGCAGUCCUCAGUUCAAGUGUUAUCCAUAGAUAUCCUUUCUCAUGAGCCUCCUCCUAAGUGCCCAAUAAGUAAAACUCUGAAAACAGGCCUUCUGCCACACUGUGUGGCUCAAAAUUAAGGAAAUAUUUAUGUCUAAUAAAAUGACUGGUUUAGUAAAAUGGUUCAACGCUGAUAAAGGCUUCGGCUUUAUUUCUCCAGAAGACGGCAGCAAAGAUGUGUUCGUACACUUUUCUGCAAUCCAGGGUACUGAUUACAAAACCCUCGAUGAAGGCCAGAAAGUUGAAUUCACCAUCGAGAAUGGUGCUAAAGGUCCAUCAGCCGCUAACGUAGUCGGUCUGUAAGCCUUUCAUUAUUACCGGCUCACAAUCGCGAUGACG
rfam:Triticum urartu cultivar G1812 contig1448550, whole genome shotgun sequence.